UGAUGCACGAGGGAUUCUACACUGUCACACUUGCACCACGUCAUCAAUAACAAGCCAAUCACAUUCCUUCUGUUCAAACAAAAAUACAAUAAAAAUAUUAUUUUACAAUCAUGAUAAAAUAUAUGUUUUUAAAAGGAUUAAUUUGAUUGAUUUGUUACGCUAUGUCACUAAUAUACCUGUUGCAUUCUUAAAUUUUUCCUUGAUUCACAAAAUGUAC
rnacentral:lncRNA from 1 species